rnacentral:rRNA from 1 species
AACGUAGGUUCCGAGCGUUAUCCGGAUUUACUGGGCGUAAAGCGCGUUCAGGCGGUUCGGCAAGUCGGGCAUGAAAUCUCUCGGCUCAACCGGGAGAGGUUGUCCGAUACUGUUGGACUUGAGGGCAGUAGAGGGUGGUGGAAUUCCGGGUGUAGUGGUGAAAUCUGCAGAGAUCGGGAGGAACACCAGUCGCGAAGGCGCUUAACUGGCUCAUUACUGACGCUCAGGGACGAAAGCUAGGGGAGCAAACGGG